UACAGAGGGUGCGAGCGUUAAUCGGAAUUACUGGGCGUAAAGCGUGCGUAGACGGUUAUUUAAGUCGGGUGUGAAAGCCCCGGGCUCAACCUGGGAAUUGCAUUCGAGACUGAAUAGCUAGGGUACGGUAGAGGGAAGUGGAAUUUCCGGUGUAGCGGUGAAAUGCGUAGAUAUCAGAAGGAACAUCAGUGGCGAAAGCGGCUUCCUGGUCCAGUACCGACGUUCAGGCACGAAAGCGUGGGAGCAAACAGG
rnacentral:rRNA from 1 species